UUUUUUUAAACUAUUAUGGAUACUGCCAUACAAGUAUUAUGGAUAGGCCUAUUAUAGAAGUCUCUUAUAUAAAACUGUCAGAGUAGCCCCGCAUCCUCUUCAACGUGUAACUUUGGCAAUAAAAAAAUAAUAGUGGGCUAAUAAUAGGCACAAAAGCUACGGCCGACCACGUAUAAUGGCCAAAAUUGCGUGCGUGUCGGGGUCAUAAUAACCAUCAGACCAAAACAUAUCUUAGACUGUUUUUAAAAAAUGUUAAAUUAAUAUAUUGAUAAAAAAAAACAUAUAGUGAAAAUCUGUGUCAUUGUCUUGACAAGUCUGUAACCGUAACGUUACCUACUUCAGCGAGCGUCUGGAUCUGUGUUGCACACGAGCCUGUAAAAAUCUUACCCGGAUACAGCAAUGCUAUUUUCUGAUUGGCUGAUCGGUAGCUAUAUUUUUUUAUUCGAUUAGCAGGUGCGUGUCAGGGCCUUCGGGGAACUCACUUGAUUCCUCUACGUUACCUGUUUCACUGUUUAAAAAAAUAGCGCCGCAACUUGGUGGGCGUUGUCCUCGUAAUGUCUCUGCGUGAGAAAUACAAGGUGUGGCGUGUGAGCGUGUGAACGGGUUGAAAUGCGUGAGUCUCACGCCCAAUGCGUGAGACUUGAGAGCCCUGGUUACAUUUGCACAUAACGUACUUAAACUGGUUUUGAUAAUUUUCUCUCCUCAGAAAAUCCAGUAUGACUUCUCUGAAAGUCUCAAAAGCUUCACAGAGCAGCACCAUCAGUUAAUGAAGAAAUGUGGCUCUGUAGUGGACACCUGUGAGGCAGUGGACAGACAGCUGCUGAUGUCUGAUGCUGACUGACAAUAAACAGACCUCUCUGUACGUACCCCAUCUUUUGCAGAGAAAUUAUACCAUUGCCCUUCCUGUUACAUGAUGAUCCUGCUGUCCUGGACUGUAUAUGAUGAGCCUACACAGAAUCUCAGAACAGCUGUGGUAAUAACAGGAGACCCAUUAGAUGAGAGCAGCACUGCAGUCUUUCCUGAUGGAGGAGAUCAUGGACCAUUUUCACAAGACUGAUGAUGUGUUUCAGCUGUGUUUUCAUCGUAAAUCCUCACAAUGUUUGUAUAUUUUGGUUUUUUUUUUUUAUUAUGUGCAUUUAUAACACUAUACUUUGUAUUAUAACACAUUCAUAUCAAAUUACAGAAAAAAAUAGUUAAUGCUAAUGCAAGGGUGUUUCUAAUCCAGAGUCUUUGAGAGGAAUGCUAAAUUUGACAUUGUUCUCUCUUCUGACUGCUGUUAUCAGUCACUGUUAGAUUUUUUCCUUUGAUUGAAAGUUGUGAAAAUGCUAUUGUAGAGUUUUUCAUUUUGCUAUUUGAGUAAAUGAGAAUGCAAAAAUAUAUUUAUGAUACUCUCCCAUUCACUGCUCUCGAAGUUAACCCAACUAUAACAACUUAUGCUGCUGAGAAACUGGUUUAUUAAGCUAAAUACAGCCAUCUUGAGGCUUAUCAAUUUCUUGAAAUGUCCUGUGUGAAUUCUCCCAAUGAGUCACCACUAUUUAGAACAGGAAAGAAUAUGUUACUAUUAAUUGCAUUGUUUCUAAAAUUUAAAUCAUUGUUUUAGGUACAUAAAAUGUUUUUUUUUUAAAGUUCUAAGAUUAUUGAAUCACAUUUAUUUGUUUCUAUUUUUAA